AUGAGCGUUCACAGAGCUGGGUGUCUUGAGAGGCUGCCGAGAGCUUUGAGGCCGUCCUGGACUUUGGGAUGGAGUGGAGGUUACCCGGAGCUGCUUGCCCUGAAUCUUGCUUUGCUAGGUGACCACUCGUUUGCUGCUGCUUUUUUGGAGAGGGCCUGUCCUGCACUGCAAGAUGUAUCCAUGAUGUCCAAUAGCAGUUCACAUUGCAUACCAAUGUGGACUACUUUUUUCUUGACGCGUGGCUGA
rnacentral:lncRNA from 1 species